rnacentral:misc_RNA from 1 species
UCGAGUUUACAACUCCCAAACCCCUGUGAACAUACCUAUCGUUGCUUCGGCGGGAAAUGCCCCGGCGCCCUCGGGCCCGGACUCGGGCGCCCGCCGGAGGACCCAAACUCUUUGUCUCUGAUGUGUAUCUUCUGAGUGACACAAGCAAAUAAAUUA